rnacentral:rRNA from 1 species
GAUAAACGCUAGCGGGAGGCUUAACACAUGCAAGUCGAGGGGUAAAAGGUAGCAAUACUUUGAGACCGGCGGACGGGUGCGUAACGCGUAUGCAACUUACCUUGUGCAGGGAGAUAGCCCGGGGAAACCCGGAUUAAUAUUCCAUAAUUCAUAUUUACUGCAUGGUUUAUAUGUAAAAGUUAAUGCGGCACAAGAUAGGCAUGCGUCUGAUUAGCUGGUUGGUAGGGUAACGGCCUACCAAGGCGACGAUCAGUAGGGGUUCUGAGAGGAAGGUCCCCCACACUGGAACUGAGACACGGUCCAGACUCCUACGGGAGGCAGCAGUGAGGAAUAUUGGUCAAUGGGCGCGAGCCUGAACCAGCCACGUCGCGUGAAGGAUGACGGCCUUAUGGGUUGUAAACUUCUUUUACAGGGGAAUAAAGUGAGUCACGUGUGAUUUUUGCAUGUACCCUGUGAAUAAGCAUCGGCUAACUCCGUG